rnacentral:rRNA from 1 species
AGAGUUUGAUCAUGGCUCAGAACGAACGGUGGCGGCGUGGAUAAGACAUGCAAGUCGAACGGGAUAUUAUUUGUAGCAAUACAAGUGAUGUUCAGUGGCGCAAGGGUGCGUAACACGUGGGCAAUCUGCCCUGGGGAGCGGGAUAGCUCGGCGAAAGCCGAAUUAAUACCGCAUGUGACUAUCGGGAGCAUUUCCGAGAUGUUAAAGUUGGCGCAAGCUGACGCUCCAGGAUGAGCCCGCGGCCUAUCAGCUAGUUGGUGAGGUAACGGCUCACCAAGGCGAUGACGGGUAGCUGGUCUGAGAGGACGACCAGCCACACUGGAACUGAGACACGGUCCAGACACCUACGGGUGGCAGCAGUCGAGAAUUUUUCUCAAUGGGGGAAACCCUGAAGGAGCGACGCCGCGUGGAGGAUGAAGGCCUUCGGGUUGUAAACUCCUGUCAUUUGGGAACAAAAUACCAGUUUAACUGACUGGGGCUUGAUAGUACCAGAAGAGGAAGAGACGGCUAACUCUGUGCCAGCAGCCGCGGUAAUACAGAGGUCUCAACCGUUGUUCGGAUUCAUUGGGCGUAAAGGGUGCGUAGGCGGUCGCGCAAGUCGGAUGUGAAAUCUUAGGGCUCAACCCUGAAACUGCAUUCGAUACUGCGUGGCUUGAGUGCUGGAGGGGAGACUGGAAUUUACGGUGUAGCAGUGAAAUGCGUAGAUAUCGUAAGGAAGACCAGUGGCGAAGGCGAGUCUCUGGACAGCAACUGACGCUGAGGCACGAAGGCCAGGGGAGCAAACGGGAUUAGAUACCCCGGUAGUCCUGGCAGUAAACGGUGCACGUUUGGUGUAGGCGGAUUCGACCCCGCCUGUGCCGGAGCUAACGCGUUAAACGUGCCGCCUGGGAAGUACGGUCGCAAGAUUAAAACUCAAAGGAAUUGACGG